GUAGGUGGCAAGCGUUGUCCGGAAUUAUUGGGCGUAAAGCGCGCGCAGGGCGGUCCUUUAAGUCUGAUGUGAAAGCCCACGGCUCAACCGUGGAGGGUCAUUGGAAACUGGGGGACUUGAGUACAGAAGAGGAAAGCGGAAUUCCAAGUGUAGCGGUGAAAUGCGUAGAGAUUUGGAGGAACACCAGUGGCGAAGGCGGCUUUCUGGUCUGUAACUGACGCUGAGGCGCGAAAGCGUGGGGAGCAAACAGGAUUAGAUACCCUGGUAGUCCACGCCGUAAACGAUGAGUGCUAAGUAUUAGGGGGUUUCCGCCCCUUAGUGCUGCAGCUAACGCAUUAAGCACUCCGCCUGGGGAGUACGGCCGCAAGGCUG
rnacentral:rRNA from 1 species